rnacentral:rRNA from 1 species
GAUGAACGCUGGCGGCGUGCUUAACACAUGCAAGUCGAACGAAGCAGUUUAUUACGAUCCCUUCGGGGUGACGAUUUACUGACUGAGUGGCGGACGGGUGAGUAACGCGUGGGUAACCUGCCUUGUACAGGGGGACAACAGUUGGAAACGACUGCUAAUACCGCAUAAGCGCACGGUGUUGCAUGACACAGUGUGAAAAGAUUUAUCGGUACAAGAUGGACCCGCGUCUGAUUAGCUAGUUGGUGAGGUAACGGCCCACCAAGGCGACGAUCAGUAGCCGACCUGAGAGGGUGACCGGCCACAUUGGGACUGAGACACGGCCCAAACUCCUACGGGAGGCAGCAGUGGGGAAUAUUGGCACAAUGGGCGCAAGCCUGAUGCAGCGACGCCGCGUGAGCGAAGAAGUAUUUCGGUAUGUAAAGCUCUAUCAGCAGGGAAGAUAAUGACGGUACCUGACUAAGAAGCACCGGCUAAAUACGUGCCAGCAGCCGCGGUAAUACGUAUGGUGCAAGCGUUAUCCGGAUUUACUGGGUGUAAAGGGAGCGUAGGCGGUUUUACAAGUCUGAUGUGAAAGCCCGGGGCUCAACUCCGGUAUUGCAUUGGAAACUGUAGAACUAGAGUGUCGGAGGGGUAAGUGGAAUUCCUAGUGUAGCGGUGAAAUGCGUAGAUAUUAGGAGGAACAUCGGUGGCGAAGGCGGCUUACUGGACAGCAACUGACGUUGAGGCUCGAAGGCGUGGGGAGCAAACA